rnacentral:rRNA from 1 species
CAGUCGAACGAUGAAGCCCAGCUUGCUGGGUGGAAGAGUGGCGAACGGGUGAGUAACACGUGAGUAACCUGCCCUGAACUCUGGGAUAAGCACUGGAAACGGUGUCUAAUACUGGAUAUGACCUAUCACCGCAUGGUGUGUAGGUGGAAAGAUUUAUCGGUUCUGGAUGGACUCGCGGCCUAUCAGCUAGAUGGUGAGGUAAUGGCUCACCAUGGCGACGACGGGUAGCCGGCCUGAGAGGGUGACCGGCCACACUGGGACUGAGACACGGCCCAGACUCCUACGGGAGGCAGCAGUGGGGAAUAUUGCACAAUGGGCGCAAGCCUGAUGCAGCAACGCCGCGUGAGGGAUGACGGCCUUCGGGUUGUAAACCUCUUUUAGUAGGGAAGAAGCGCAAGUGACGGUACCUGCAGAAAAAGCACCGGCUAACUACGUGCCAGCAGCCGCGGUAAUACGUAGGGUGCAAGCGUUGUCCGGAAUUAUUGGGCGUAAAGAGCUCGUAGGCGGCUUGUCGCGUCUGCUGUGAAAUCCCGGGGCUCAACCCCGGGCCUGCAGUGGGUACGGGCAAGCUAGAGUGCGGUAGGGGAGAUUGGAAUUCCUGGUGUAGCGGUGGAAUGCGCAGAUAUCAGGAGGAACACCGAUGGCGAAGGCAGAUCUCUGGGCCGCUACUGACGCUGAGGAGCGAAAGCAUGGGGAGCGAACAGGAUUAGAUACCCUGGUAGUCCAUGCCGUAAACGUUGGGAACUAGAUGUAGGGCCUGUUCCACGGGUUCUGUGUCGUAGCUAACGCAUUAAGUUCCCCGCCUGGGGAGUACGGCCGCAAGGCUAGAACUCAAAGGAAUUGACGGG